GGCGACCCCAGGUCAGGCGGGAUAACCCGCUGAA
rnacentral:rRNA from 29 species